rnacentral:rRNA from 1 species
CCUACGGGUGGCUGCAGUGGGGAAUAUUGGACAAUGGGGGGAACCCUGAUCCAGCCAUGCCGCGUGUGUGAAGAAGGCCCUCGGGUUGUAAAGCACUUUCAGUGAGGAAGAACGCCUGGUGGUUAAUACCCAUCAGGAAAGACAUCACUCACAGAAGAAGCACCGGCUAACUCCGUGCCAGCAGCCGCGGUAAUACGGAGGGUGCGAGCGUGAAUCGGAAUUACUGGGCGUAAAGCGCGCGUAGGUGGCUUGAUAAGCCGGUUGUGAAAGCCCCGGGCUCAACCUGGGAACGGCAUCCGGAACUGUCAAGCUAGAGUGCAGGAGAGGAAGGUAGAAUUCCCGGUGUAGCGGUGAAAUGCGUAGAGAUCGGGAGGAACACCAGUGGCGAAGGCGGCCUUCUGGACUGACACUGACACUGAGGUGCGAAAGCGUGGGUAGCAAACAGGAUUAGAUACCCGAGUAGUC